rnacentral:ncRNA from 2 species
GGAGCAGCUUCUGGAGAGACCGCGAGAGUUUUCGCGGCGCCGAAGGGUUCAUAAUCUCAGGCAAAAGGACAGAAGAGUAUCA